AUUCACUAACAGCCGUUUUAAGAUCUCUCCUCCACUCUCCAGAUAUUCUUCUGUUCUUCAUCUAAAUCCCAGAUCCUCACUCUCUUUCGAAUUUCCCUUCAUACAGCAAGCAUGAUGAGAUUAGCAAAUGUUGAAGCUUGAAGGUGUAGACAUGACAUCGAUGAAGAAGAGACACUUUUAGACAGGUUUGUUAAGUGAGUUCAGUUCUUUGAUUCAAAUCAUAUGAUGGCUAGAGGAAAGAAGGGAGUUGCUCGACCUCAUCCAACUGCUUCGGGGCUUGAAGACUCUUCAACCGCAACAUCACCUUCUGCUCAUCUUCAAAUUGAA